rnacentral:rRNA from 1 species
AUUGAACGCUGGCGGCGUGCCUUACACAUGCAAGUCGAACGGCAGCACGGGUGCUUGCACCUGGUGGCGAGUGGCGAACGGGUGAGUAAGACAUCGGAACGUACCUUAUCGUGGGGGAUAACGCAGCGAAAGCUGUGCUAAUACCGCAUACGCCCGGAGGGGGAAAGCGGGGGAUCGCAAGACAUCGCGCGAUGAGAGCGGCCGAUGCAUGAUUAGAUUGUUGGUGGGGUAAAAGCCCACCAAGGCGACGAUCAGUAGCUGGUCUGAGAGGACGAUCAGCCACACUGGGACUGAGACACGGCCCAGACUCCUACGGGAGGCAGCAGUGGGGAAUUUUGGACAAUGGGGGCAACCCUGAUCCAGCAAUGCCGCGUGAGUGAAGAAGGCCUUCGGGUUGUAAAGCUCUUUUGUCAGGGAAGAAACACCGGCUCUAACACGGUCCGGGAAUGACGGUACCUGAAGAAUAAGCACCGGCUAACUACGUGCCAGCAGCCGCCGUAAUAC